GACGAACGCUGGCGGCGUGCUUAACACAUGCAAGUCGAACGAUGAAGUUCCUUCGGGAAUGGAUUAGUGGCGAACGGGUGAGAAACACGUGAGAAACCUGCCUUUCAUUUUGGGAUAACUCCGGGAAACCGGAGCUAACACCGAAUACUCCGUCUCGGCGGCAUCGCUGAGCCGGGAAAAAAUUUUGAUGAAAGAUGGUCUCGCGGCCUAUCAGCUAGUUGGUGAGGUAAUGGCUCACCAAGGCGACGACGGGUAGCCGGCUUGAGAGGGCGACCGGCCACACUGGGACUGAGACACGGCCCAGACUCCUACGGGAGGCAGCAGUGGGGAAUAUUGGGCAAUGGGCGCAAGCCUGACCCAGCGACGCCGCGUGAGGGAUGAAGGCCUUCGGGUUGUAAACCUCUUUCAGUAGGGAAGAAGCGAAAGUGACGGUACCUAAAGAAGAAGCACCGGCUAACUAUGUGCCAGCAGCCGCAGUAA
rnacentral:rRNA from 1 species